rnacentral:rRNA from 1 species
AUGUAUAGCAAUAGCUACUGCAUCAGCAAUGGUGUGGGAUCGACUCUGUCGUGUAAAGUUCUAGUCAGAAUUGUGAUAAUGACACUAUCUGGCUAUGUGCCUUGACCAAAUUACGUGCCAGCAGUCGCGGUAAUACGUAGAAGGCUAGUGUUAUUCAUGUUUAAUCGGUUUAAAGGGUACCUAGACGGUAGAUCAAGCCUUCAAGAAAUAGAUAAAGGGACUAAUCUGCUAGAGUUACUUGCGAGGGGGCAUUAAAGUACUGCUGGUGUAGAGAUGAAAUUCAGUGAUACCUAUCUUCAAAAGAAGAACGACGGCACAGGUAAAGGUGAAGGCGUCCCCUUAUGUGAUAACUGACGUUGAGGGACGAAGGCUAUGUGUAGCGAACAGGAUUAGAUACCCCAGUAGUCUUAGCAGAAAAUGAUGAAUGUCAUAGGUUAGGUUAACUUAUCCUAUAAAUGAAAGUGCAAGCAUUCCACCUCAAGAGUAAUUUGGCAACAUUGGAACUGAAAUCAUUAGACCGUUUCUGAAAACAGUAGUGAGGUAUGUUGUUUAAUUUGAUGAUCCACAAAGAACCUUACCACGCCUUGAAUAUUUGGAUACAACACUGCACCCCUUGAGUGCUAAACUUCCAAGAUAGCGUGAGCUUCUUGACAGGAAAGCAACAGGAGGAGCUGAGAUCUAUUUACAGGCGUUGCACGGCUGUCUUCAGUUAAUGUCGCGAGACUAUGGUUAGUUCCAUUAAAUUAACGCAAACCCUUACCCUAGUUUAAUGUAGGGUAGUUCUCCGCUAUAUUGGAUGUGAUAA